rnacentral:ncRNA from 1 species
GUAAUGGUUACCAUUAUGGAUUAAAAGGGAAUCUGGUGCAAUUCCAGAGCUGUUCCCGCAACUGUAAGUUUAUGCAGAAAUGUCACAAUGAGCGCAGUCGAAGUGUAAUUUCAGCAUCUCAUUAUUGAGUUGUGACCAUCUUCAAAACCACUGUUCCGUUCUUAGGAAUGGGAAGGUAAGGUCAUAAAUAACAAGUCAGGAGACCUGCCAAUUUCA